rnacentral:rRNA from 1 species
UGGCGGCGUGCUUAACACAUGCAAGUCGAACGGAGUUUUAACGGAAGUUUCGGAUGGAAGUUUAAGAACUAGUGGCGGACGGGUGAGUAACGCGUGGGUAACCUGCCUCAUACAGGGGGAUAACAGUUAGAAAUGACUGCUAACACCGCAUAAUAUAGCGAAACCGCAUGAUUUUUGCUAUCAAAUAUUUAUAGGUAUGAGAUGGGCCCGCGUCUGAUUAGCUAGUUGGUGGGGUAAAAGCCUACCAAGGCGACGAUCAGUAGCCGGCUUGAGAGAGUGACCGGCCACAUUGGGACUGAGACACGGCCCAAACUCCUACGGGAGGCAGCAGUGGGGAAUAUUGGACAAUGGGGGAAACCCUGAUCCAGCGAACCGCCGCGUGAGUGAAGAAGUAUUUCGGUAUGUAAAGCUCUAUCAGCAGGGAAGAUAAUGACAGUACCUGACUAAGAAGCCCCGGCUAACUACGUGCCAGCCGCAGC